rnacentral:rRNA from 1 species
CAACUUCUAACGGUGGAUCUCUCGGCUUGUGCAUCGAUGAAGAACGCAGCAAAAUGCGAUACCUAGUGCGAAUUGCAGAAUUCAGUGAAUCAUCGAGUCUUUGAACGCAAAUGGCGUUCUCGGGGUCUUCCCGAAGAGCACGUCUUGCCUGGAGCGCCUGC